AGGCGCUUAGUUUAAAUAAAACGUUUGAUUUCGGCUCAAAAACCUAUGGUUAAAUUCCAUAAUUGCCUA
rnacentral:tRNA from 1 species